rnacentral:rRNA from 1 species
AUUGAACGCUGGCGGCAUGCCUAACACAUGCAAGUCGAACGAGUGGCGGACGGGUGAGUAAUGUCUGGGAACCUGCCCGAUGGAGGGGGAUAACUACUGGAAACGGUAGCUAAUACCGCAUACCAUCGGAUGUGCCCAUAUGGGAUUAGCUAGUUGGUGGGGUAAAGGCUCACCAAGGCGACGAUCCCUAGCUGGUCUGAGAGGAGGACCAGCCACACUGGAACUGAGACACGGUCCAGACUCCUACGGGAGGCAGCAGUGGGGAAUUUUGGACAAUGGGCGCAAGCCUGAUGCAGCCAUGCCGCGUGUAUGAAGAAGGCCUUCGGGUUGUAAAGUACUUUCAGCAGGGAGGCGUUACCCGCAGAAGAAGCACCGGCUAACUCCGUGCCAGCAGCCGCGGUAAUAC